UACAGAGGAGCCAAGCGUUGUCCGGAUUGACUGGGCGUAAAGCGCACGCAGGCGGACGCGCGCGUGGGGUGUGAAAUCUGGCCGCUUAACGGCCAGGCGCCAUCCCAUACGGCGCGUCUGGAGCAAUGCAGAGGUCGGUGGAAUUGCCGGUGUAGCGGUGAAAUGCGUAGAGAUCGGCAGGAACACCCAGGGGGAAACCAGCCGACUGGGC
rnacentral:rRNA from 1 species